rnacentral:rRNA from 1 species
UACGUAGGUGGCAAGCGUUGUCCGGAAUUAUUGGGCGUAAAGCGCGCGCAGGCGGUCCUUUAAGUCUGAUGUGAAAGCCCACGGCUCAACCGUGGAGGGUCAUUGGAAACUGGGGGACUUGAGUGCAGGAGAGAAGAGUGGAAUUCCACGUGUAGCGGUGAAAUGCGUAGAGAUGUGGAGGAACACCAGUGGCGAAGGCGGAUCUCUGGGCCUUACCUGACGCUGAGGCGCGAAAGCUAGGGGAGCGAACAGG